ACCAGGCUGCCUUGCCCUCAGUUUCACAUUUAUUCUAAUAAAUACAGUGAAUGAUCCAUUGGAGAAGUUUGCGCAAUUGAUCCAAAAUGAAAUAGAGCUGAAAUUAAAUUUAAACCAGAGUUUAGAAGAUGGAGGCAAAGAUGUCGGUCCCAUUGCUUUCAAAGGAGAGAUGUGCUUUUCGGGGCAAAGACCCUUUCCCAACCGCAGCCUCCAGGAAAGGAUCCCUCUCCAUUUUUCAGGAUGGAGCUGGGCCUCUCCAUCUCCGCACCAGACGCUUACCCCUCUCCCCCCCCCCUCUCUCCCUCCUUCUCUCUCUCUCCCUCCUUCUCUCUCUCUGUCAACCACGUUUCCACCUUUCUUCUGAAUAUCUGCAAUAGGGGAGAUGGAGUCAUUUGAAAAAUUGCACGUGAAACCCUUUGCGGCUUUUCUGUUCAUUAAUCCGAAGCCCGGUCCGAGCUGCAGAGUCUCACACAAAGCAGAUUUGGAGGACCACAGGCCCCUUGUUCCAUCUUUGCUAUUGGUCUGGAGUGUGAUUUCUGAAGUUCAAACCCUGGGUAGGCAAGGCUGCAUCUUUCAAUAAGCUAUCGAAGAUGAGCAUACAACCUGCAGGGUGGACAUCCAUUUUGAGAAAGACGGGUGGUCUUCCAAAUCCCCCGUUUGCAAAGAGAUUCAUUCCUUUCUGCAGCCAUUUGCCAGAGGAGCCGGGGCUUCCUUGGGCCUGUCUUAUGCUCAGCCUUCUGGGCGCCAAAGGAAGCCCUUCUGCUGAAACCAGGCCUUCUUCCCUGGACAGUUCUCCAGAAAGAUUUUGCAGACGGAGGUUUGGUGGUGAGGAAGGCCAGGCCCAUUGUGACUUCGCCAGGAUCUACUUGCACCUGGCAGGGCCUGAGGUUAAUGUAUGGCUAUUUUAUGUUCCAGCGUCCAGCGGUGUUGGGUUCAGACGUCCCUUUGUGCAGUCUACACACAGGUCCCCUCCUCUCCCAAAGGAUGCUGCCCUUUUCCACUGAGCGUGGGUGAUGGGAGAGGCAGUCCUUCCAGACAGAGCAGCGGCUUGCAAGGAGGCCAGGAAGGCGCAUGGGCUUUGGGCUGUUGGUGGGCCAGGCUAAAAGGACAAGGAAAGGAAGGGCAGCAGAUCUCCAGAAGGACUGGCUGGAGGUGCCCUCAGAAGGGCCAUUCCUUCUCUCAGAAAGAAGAUGCAACGUGUGCCUCGGGAUGCUGAAGCCAGGACACCAAAAUGCCAAAGAGGUGUCCUUGCUGUAAAUGCCUUCUGCUGUCUGGAGCUGUGUUUUCUGGCCAUCCUCUUCCAUACAGAAGACCUCUAGAGCAUGCAGAUCUGAACCUGUUAAAUUGGAUUAGCAAAGAUGCCAAGCAAACACCCGAAUCCUGGCUGCAUUUUGAAAAACAAUGAAUAAUAGCCAUUGAGUAUGCCACUGCCACAACUCCAAGAGAAGCAUGGCCUUUCUGGCAGUGACCCAGUCUGAACAUGAAGCCCUUCUAUAGAAACGUUCUGCACGACGGAUAUGGCAACACAUCAUCAUAAAACCAGAGGGAGAAAAUGGCACCGGGGUGCUUCCUACCUGUUGAUGUUCCUCAGAGGCCUUCAAGUCCUCUCCAGGCUCUUUCUUUCCAUGCAGCUUUAAGAUCCAACGGCGUGCAAGCGGGGCCCAAAUGCCCAGGCGCGCAUGAAAGGGUUGCUUCUGCAGGUUGGCUCUUUGGUGAGUUUCUAGGGGAGUGUUCCAGAGGAGCUGGUUUGCUGCUUCAAAGCAUCUUCAAUGCUGGUAAAGGCUAAUAAACUAAAGACAAAUAAACUG